CCCCUCUCAGGGUCACACCUGGAGAGUUUCCAGUACUCUACCAGUCUCGGCUACAGGAGGGAGAGUCACGCAGAGGCAUACCUAUUCCAUUCCUAGCUUGGGCAGUGGCUAGCAAGAGGAAGGCCAUCUGCUACAAGU